rnacentral:tRNA from 1 species
GGUUGUAUAGCUCAGUGGUAGAGGACAUGCUUAGUGUGCAUGAGGCCCUUGGUUCAAUCCCUAGUACCCU